ACUGUUAGUAGCCACUGGAAUAUAUAUGGAACAAUCUGUCGUAGCGGAAAUGCUGCAAUAGACUACAGUGUGCCGGUUGGAUGAGAUUCAAUGAGCCUUUUUCAUUCAAUUUUUUCUCGAUUCUGGUUUCAUCCGCGGAACAGCAUUGCCCCAAUAUGUGAAGAACCAGAGAGACAUGGCACUUGAUUGCAGCCAUCAGGUAAUAGUCAAAACAUAUCUCAACUUCUGCAAAUAUUGGCUAAGAUGUUAUGUUCGGUUCGGGGUUGAAUCGUUUCGAAAGGCGUGUUGCGAGUGUGGAAUCGAUCUCCUUGAAUGCCCGGUUUGGCACAGCCGGGGGCUGAGAUCAGAGCCAACCCCCAAACAUUAGAGCAAACGUCUUCUUCUUUGUGAAAGUUCUCCAUAACACGAUGUCUUAGUGAGAUACUCUGACUCGGCCAGAGAGUUUCACUGUAUGCCUGGUUUACUAAAACCAGAAGCCAGAUUGAAUCAGAGGAGCUAUAUUAGAGAAUAGAGACAUGUGUAUGUUCUUGGGUUGAUUUCGGUUUAUAUUUUUGGUUUAGUUGUUUUGUAUUUUGGUUCUUCGGUUUAGACCGGUUUAUGUCUCUGGUUUAUCUACUUCAAGUACUGUAGGCGACAAUCCUUUAUAUUUUCUGGUCUAAUUGUUUUAUGGACUC